AAAUGAAUUGACGGGGACCCGCACAAGCAGUGGAGUAUGUGGUUUAAUUCGAAGCAACGCGAAGAACCUUACCAGGUCUUGACAUCCCCCUGACCGGUACAGAGAUGUACCUUUCCUUCGGGACAGGGGAGACAGGUGGUGCAUGGUUGUCGUCAGCUCGUGUCGUGAGAUGUUGGGUUAAGUCCCGCAACGAGCGCAACCCUUGACUUUAGUUGCCAGCAGGUAAGGCUGGGCACUCUAGAGUGACUGCCGGUGACAAACCGGAGGAAGGUGGGGAUGACGUCAAAUCAUCAUGCCCCUUAUGACCUGGGCUACACACGUACUACAAUGGCCGGUACAACGGGAAGCGAAGGAGCGAUCUGGAGCGAAUCCUUUAAAGCCGGUCUCAGUUCGGAUUGCAGGCUGCAACUCGCCUGCAUGAAGUCGGAAUUGCUAGUAAUCGCGGAUCAGCAUGCCGCGGUGAAUACGUUCCCGGGUCUUGUACACACCGCCCGU
rnacentral:rRNA from 1 species